rnacentral:rRNA from 1 species
GUUCAAACGGGGAAAGGCUUACGGUGGAUACCUAGGAACCCAGAGAUGAGGAAGGGCGCAGUAAUCGAUAAAAGUCUUCGUGGAGUUGAAAAUAAGCAUAGAUAUGGAGAUUCUCGAAUAGGGCAACCUCUCGAACUACAGCUGGAUCCAUGGUCAGGCAAGAGAUAACUUGGCGAACUGAAACAUCGUAGUAGCUAGAGAAAAAGAUAGCAAAAGUGAUUCUCGUAGUAGCGCCGAGUGAAAUGAGAGAAUCCUAAACUGUAAAAAUGGGGUUGUGGGAGAGAAUGACAAACGUCGUACUGCUAGGCGAAGCAGCCUAAAUUUUGCACCCUAGAUGGCGAAUGUCAUGUAAAUGAAAGCAUCACUAUCUUACGCUCUGACCCGAGUAGCAUGGGGCACGUUGAAUCCCGUGUGAAUCAUCAAGGACCACCUGGGUAAAUACUCAUGGGUGACCAACAACGAUGUAGUACUGUGAGGCAAGGGUUAAUAUAACCCCUAUCAGGGAGUGAAAUAGAACAUGAAAUCGUAAGAUGCCAAGCAGUGGGAGAAUCCAGGGCUCUGACCACGUGCCUGUUGAAAAAUGAGUCGGCGACUAAUAGUUUGUGGCUUUGUUAGGGAACCCACCGGAUCCAUAGCAAAGUCGAGUGUUCAUAGGGCAAUUGUCACUGCUUAUAGAACGAACCUUUGUGAUCUAUCCAUGACCAGGAUGAAGAUUGGGUGAAACUUUGUUGAUGUUUGAACCAAGUGAUGUUGAAAAAUCAACGGAUAAGUUGUGGUUAGGGGUGAAAUGUCACUCUAACCCAGAGCUAGCUAGUUCUCCCUGAAAUGCUUUGUGGCACAUCAUUUGACUAGACAUCUAGGGAUAAAGCACUGUUUCAGUGCAGGCGGCAAGAGCGGUAGCAAAUUGAGGAAAAUCUGAAUACUAGAUAUGACCUCAAAAUAAAAGGGGUCAAGGUCUGCUAGUGAGACGAUGGGGGUAACACUUCAUCAUCGAGAGGGAAACACCCCAAUUCACCAGUUAUGGCCCCUAAAUACUGCUCAGUGAUAAAGAAGGUAGGGGUGCAGAGAUGAUAUGCUCAAACUUACUCCUCAAAUGAGAAGUAAAGCGGUCGCGUCAAGUAAAUAACCCAACUAGUGAGGUUGGGAUCGUUCCCACGAGGAAAAUAGUGUAGACUUAACUCCAACUUGUUAUUACUGUUGUUCGGUUGAUGACUUUCAUAAAAAGUAAAAGCAUAAAAGGGGGGUUUUGUACUUCCUAAUAAAAUAAAAAAUAACUAACGAACUUGACAGAGACACUUAACAACUUUUAAUGUUGAGUUUUAAUCAAGUAAUCAAAGUAACUAGGGUUUAGGUGUUCUCCACAGGUUCAUAACUUGCUAAUUCUAGCUAUAAUAAUUCUUUUCUAGUAUCUUGCAUACAAAGUGAUAAGCUGUGUAUUUCUAAAUCCUUGGUCCGGCAUCUAGAAAAUCUCACUCCGCACCUUGGUCCGGCUACGUGUGUUGCUUUCCUAACCCUUAUCCUUACCUCAUACUAAGCAUCAUAUUCGAUAUUUGACUCAGUUAUUACCUCGUACCAAUCAAUACUAGCCUAUUAGAUAGUAUACACUAAAUCUAUGUUAAUAAUUCUUUUCCUAUUAUCUACCUCCUUGGUCCGGCAAGUAGCAUUAAGGCGAGUUGUAACGUUAAUCAUCCGUUAAAAAGACUUCUAUGCGAAAGAAUUACUAAUACAUGCAAGAAACUAUUCUAGAAUUGUUAUUUUAGCUAGGGUUUAUCUUAUUAUUUGCCUAUGGUUCCCACAACCCUAGUUAUAGAGUUUAGUUCAUCAUAUCCAUAAACACAAUAUUCAAAUACAUUAAACAAGAAGUCAUGUACUUACUUUUAUGAGAAAGAAUAAAGUCUGAAAAUUUGAUUGAUUAAUCAACAAGAGAUACUUGUAAGGAUCUCCAACAAUCAAAAACUCAGAAAAAACAAAGUCUAACAAUAUGAUGUUUAAUCUCCAAGAGUCUAACCUCAAAACGAGGUUUUUCAAACUAUUUAUAAAAAAAUUAAAACCUAAAUAAACAAGGAUUCUAAUUACUGGAAAUCUGUCAAAACGCGGCUGGGUCGACGGACCACGCGACGGAACGUCGUGGUCAUGACGGACCGUCGUGGGCUCCAUCGCCCCAUACUUGGUGCAAUUCUUCUGCUGCUUUCUUCAUUCCCCUCGACGGCAAUUGUGACGGACCGUCACAGGCACGACGGUCCGUCGAGGGUCUUCAUUACCAAAUACAUCAACUCUUGGAAUCUGGGUACUGGGAUCACUUCUCUGAUCUUCGCGACGAACCUGCAGGACGGACCGUCAUAUCCAUGACGGACCGUCAAAAGCUUCGUAAUCCCACACUUGGUCAGACUUCCCCAUCUUCCUUCAGCAGCUUCUCUACGCUACGACCUACGGACCGUCACAAGCACAAUGGACCGUCAUAAGCUCCGUAGGUGGUCUCUUCUGCAUUUUUCGCUCAAAAUCUCUGCAUUCAGUUUUAGACAGAUUUCCUGCAAAACAAAGAAAAACUUAUAUCAAAAUUAGCACAAAAAGGCUUUCCGAAACAAUAAACUUAAGGAAAAGGUAUUAAUUAUACCGUGAAACCACGGUAUAUCAAGAGACAGCUAGGAGGUUUACCUAGAAGCAGCCACCCUUGAAAGAGUGCAUAAUAGCUCACUGAUCGAGCACUCUUGUACCGAAGAUGAACGGGGCUAAGCGGUCUGUCGAAGAUGUGGGAUGUAAAAAUACAUUUCUAUGAAAGAACUCCACCUUAGAGAGAAGCCUUCGCGCGAGAGGUGGUGGACAAAGCGGAAGUGAGAAUGUCGGCUUGAGUAACACAAACAUUGGUAAGAAUCCAAUGCCCCGAAAACCUAAGGGUUCCUCCGCAAGGUUCGUCCAUGAAGGGUGAGUCAGGGCCUAAGAUCAGGUCGAAAGGCGUACUGGAUUGACAAAAGGUGAAUAUUCCUGUACUACCCCUUGUUAGUCUCGAGGGAAUGGAGAGGCUAGGUUACCUGAAAGAUGGUUAUCGGUUCAAGAACGCGAGAUGUCCCUACUUUUUCAGGAUAUGAAGGGUUAGAGAAAAUUCCUCGAGCAAAUGUUUGAAUACAAUGUGCAACAGAGCUGAAAUAACCCAUGCCAUACUCCAAGGAAAAGUUCAAACUAUGAUAAGCAAGAGGGAUCCUAUACCCGAAACUAACACAGGUUGGUAGGUAGAGAAUACCUAGGGGCGCUAGACAACUCUCUCAAAGGAACUCAGCAAAAUAGCCCCGUAACUUCGGGAGAAGGGGUGCCUCCUCACAAAGGGAGUCGAAGUGACCAGGCCCGGGCGACUGUUUACAAAAAAACACAAGUCACUGCAAAGUCGUAAUACCAUGUACGGGGGCUAACGCCUACCCAGUGCCAAAAGGUCAAGGAAGUUGGUAAGCUGAUGACAGGGGUGCGAACGACUGAAGCCCCGGUGAACGGCAGCCAUAAUAUAAUUGUCCUAAGGUAGCAAAAUUCCUUGUCAGGUAAGUUCUGACCUGCACGAAAGGCGUAACAAUCUGGGCAGUGUCUCAGAGAGAGGCUCGGUGAAAUAGACAUUUCUAUGUAGAUGCGGAGUACCUGCACCUGGACAUAAAGACCCUAUGAAGCAUCACUAUUCCUUGGGAUUGACUUUGAGCCUUUCCUGCAUCGGUUAUGUGGAAGGCGAAGAAGGCCUCCUUCCGGGGGGUCCGAGCAAUUAGUGAGAUACAAUUCUUGAAGGUUUAGAAUUCUAACCUUAUGUCAGGAGCUACGAGUCAAGGGACAGUCUCAGGUAGACGGUUUCAAUGGGGAGUUGGCCUUCAAAAAGGUAACGGAGGCGUGCAAAGGUUUCCUCGGGUCAUACAUUGAUUGGCCCUCGAGUGAAAAGACAGAAGGGAGCUUCACAGCAGUACUUACUUGUCGAUAAUGGAUGAUAGUCGGCCUUCGUGAUCCGACGGUGCCGAGUGGAAGGGUCGUUGCUCAAUAGAUAAAAUUUACUCUAGAUAUAACAGUCUGAUCUUCACAAGAUCUCACUUCGAUGGGAAGGUUUAGCACCUCGAUAAUAGAUCUUCGCCACCUAGGGCUAUACUAUGUUCCAAGGGUUGGGCUAUUCGCCCAUUAAAGCGGUACGUGAGCUAGGUUCAGAACGUCGUGAGACAGUUCGGUCCAUAUCCAUUGUUGGCGUUAUAGCAUUGAGAGGACCUUUCCCUAGUACGAGAGGACCGGGAAGUAUGCACCUUUUAUGUACCACUAAUCGUAACCACGGUAAAUAAUGGGUAGCAAAGUGCGGAAAGGAUAACUGUUUAAAGCAUCUAAGUAGGCCCACCCCAAGAUGAUUGCUUUCCAAACUUGACUUCCGCAGAGCUUUCGGUAGCACAGACGAGACAACGACGGGUUCUCUGCCCUUGCGGGGAUGGAGCGACAAAUGUUUUUUUGAGAAUUCUAGAGAAGGUCAAGGCAAGACGAGCCGUUUAUCAUUACAAUAGGUGUCAAGUGGAAGUGCAGUGAUGUAUACAACUGAGGCAUCUUAACAGACCAGUAGACUUGAACCU